GAUGAAGAACGUAGCGAAAUGCGAUAACUAAUGUGAAUUGCAGAAUUCCGUGAAUCAUCGAGUCUUUGAACGCACAUUGCGCCCCCUGGUAUUCCGGGGGGCAUGCCUGUCCGAGCGUCAUUACAACCCUCAAGCCCGGCUUGUGUAAUGGGCGGCCGUCUCUCCCCCCGGGGGGAGACGCCCCCGAAACUCAGUGGGGAUGUCGCGAUACCGAAGCCUCAGCUAAUGGGUAAACCACAGCUGCAAGGGCCGCGGCCGGCGUCCGCCUUCCACGGUCCGUCCGCCUAGCGCGGGCGGCCUUCUCAAGGUUGACCUCGGAUCAGGUAGGGAUACCCGCUGAACUUAAGCAUAUCAAUAAGCGGAGGA
rnacentral:misc_RNA from 1 species